rnacentral:rRNA from 1 species
UACGUAGGGGGCUAGCGUUGUCCGGAAUCAUUGGGCGUAAAGGGCGCGUAGGCGGCCUUCUAAGUCAGACGUGAAAUCCCCGGCUUAACCUGGGAACUGCGUCUGAUACUGGGAGGCUAGAGUGCGGGAGAGGGAUGCGGAAUUCCAGGUGUAGCGGUGAAAUGCGUAGAUAUCUAUCGGAACGCCGAAGGUGAAGACAGGUCGCUGGGCUUGUACUGACGCUGAGGAACGAAAGCGUGGGGAGCAAACGG